UUUUUGGGUUAAAAUCCCGGUAUUUCCCUCCCCAAACCGAGAUGAAUAAGCGUAGGGGGCUUCCACCCCUUAGUGCCGCAGCUAACGCAAUAAGCACCCCCCCUGGGGAGUACGGCCGCAAGGUUAAAACUCAAAUGAAUUGACGGGGCCCCGCACCACGCGGUGGAGCAUGUGGUUUUAUUCGAAGCAACGCGAAGAACCUUACCUGAUCUUGACAUCCUCCCCCCCCUCCAGAGAUGGAAUUGUUCCUUUUGGGGGACAGACUCACAAAAAGCACAUCGUUGUUCUCCGCUCGUCUCGUGAGAUGUUGGGUUAAGUCCCACCACGAGCGCCCCCCUUCCCCUUAGUUCCCAUCCUUAAGUCGGGCACUCUAAGGAGACCGCCGGUGACAAACCGGAGGAAGGUGGGGAUGACGUCAAAUCAUCAUGCCCCCUAUCACCUGGGCUACACACGUGCUUCAAUUGUUCGGUACAAAGGGGAAAAAACCCGCGAGGGCCAGCUAAUCCCACAAAACCGGUCUCUUUUCCCCCCGCAGGGGGAAACCUUUUUUAUUCUUCCCCCUUUUGGGUUAGAAUGCCAGAUAGCCAGUAGCAUUAUGC
rnacentral:rRNA from 1 species